rnacentral:rRNA from 1 species
AAUUGAGAGUUUGAUCCUGGCUCAGGACGAACGCUGGCGGUGUGCUUAACACAUGCAAGUCAACGAGAAUUUAUCUUCGGAUAAUAGUAAAGUGGCGAACGGGUGAGUAACGCGUAAAUAACUUGCCUUGGAGAUUGGGACAACAUUGGGAAACCAGUGCUAAUACCAAAUAAUGCAGCGGGCCCUUCGGGGCAUAGUUGUUAAAGUAGGCUUCGGCUUACACUUCAAGAUAGAUUUGCGUCCGAUUAGUUAGUUGGUAGGGUAAUAGCCUACCAAGACUGAGAUCGGUAGCUGGUCUGAGAGGAUGAUCAGCCACACUGGAAUUGAGAUACGGUCCAGACUCCUACGGGAGGCAGCAGUGAGGAAUUUUGCACAAUGGGCGAAAGCCUGAUGCAGCAACACCGCGUGAUUGAUGAAGUUUUUAGGAAUGUAAAAAUCUGUCGUAAGGGAAGAAAUGUUUCGGAUGUUAAUACCAUCUGUUACUGACGGUACCUUACAAGAAAGGACCGGCUAACUUCGUGCCAGCAGCCGCGGUAAUACGAGGGGUCCUAGCGUUGUCCGGAUUUACUGGGCGUAAAGGGUACGUAGGCGUUUUAAUAAGUUGUAUGUUAAAUAUCUUAGCUUAACUAAGAAAGUGCAUACAAAACUGUUAAGAUAGAGUUUGAGAGAGGAACGCAGAAUUCAUGGUGGAGCGGUGACAUGCGUAGAUAUCAUGAGGAAAGUCAAAUGCGAAGGCAGCCUUCUGGCUCAAAA